rnacentral:tRNA from 1 species
UGGGCUAUCGCCAAGCGGUAAGGCAACGGAUUUUGAUUCCGUCAUUGCGUUGGUUCGAAUCCAGCUAGCCCAGCCA